UCCCGUGAGGGAACCGCCGGGCCCCUCGGCCGGCGCCGCCCGCGGAGCUGCUGCGCGGCCGGCGUCCGCAGAGGUCGAUAAAAGCGCUGCUCUGCGGCAGUGGGAGGCUUUUAAGUGGUCUCGGUGGGGAAGUCUGAAGGCAGGAGUCCUUGGUGCCAUUUUACCAUAUCAGAUCUAGCUGGCCCCAGAAUAUCUGUGACUUCACAUCAUGACUGUAUGGUUCAGCAUUUACAGACAUGGCAUCCAAGUGCCACUCGGAAAUGCUCCUGGAGAUUACAGAUGGGAAAUGACAUCCUCUUCUAAGACAAGGCCAAUGCUACAUGGAUGAAGGACAAUUUCUUCAGUGCAGUGACAGCGGCGUAAGCAUUGGUGCUGCUUCUGCCAGGAACCACGUGUCAU